UUUUAAGAGCAGACUUUAUUUAUGUAUGUGAGUGUGCAUGGGCUCCAGGACUGCAGGGACCUGCAGAGGGCUGAAGAAGCCUCUGGAGCUGGAGGAAUAGGACACUGAGUUGGGUGUCAGGAACCAGAAGGGACCUCUGCAAGAACAGCACACCCUUAACCUGAGUCACCUCUCCAGCCUCGUUGAAAAGAAAAAAAGAAAGACCGUAUCUCUCAUGUAACCCAGGCUGGCCUCAAAUUCCCUACAUAUCAGAGGAAUGACUUUGAAUUCUGACUCUCCUUCGACCUGGGAUUGCAGGCAUGCAGCAGGUAUAGGCAGUGCUGGGGAUGAAACCCCUUGCUUUGUGCAAGCCUUCUACCAAGUGAACCACAUCCCAUCCAACUCAAUUUUAAAAAAAUUAUUUAUUUAGAGACAGGAUCGUAUUCUGUCGUCCAGGUUGACCUAGUUAGUACGCCACACACAGACCAAGCAAUUCUCCUGGCUCUGUCUAGUCUGGGAUUACAGGUGUGCAAUCACCACUACCAGCCAGGAAAAAAAAUUAAGGGAAGAGACAGACGAAUUUCCGCUCCAUGCUUUCCUUCUCCAGAGCAUAUUAUCACCAAUAAGGUCUGAAAUUCCAUGUUCCCGUAGUGAGGAAGUGACCCACUGGCGGCCCGGUCCUUGAAUUCAGGAUGGAGGAAGUGACUGUCCACCGGCCCAAAGCCAGGAAGUGGAGGCACAUAUUCAGUCCCUCCCCCACCCCUAAAAUUCUCCCUUGGCCUUUCUAGAAAACUUUUGGAAGUCGACCCUGGUAGACCCAGAAACUGAGCCACUCACACCGGUGGCUGGGAAUAAGGCGGCAGAAAGUUCAUGAUGCCGCGGGGCAGGAAGCUGCAAGAUGAUUCGUGAAGGGAUUUACAGGCCCAGCUAAGCCAAUUCUGAAAUUUCCUUCACUCAACUCUUCCCCUCAAGGUGCGGAGCUAUUAAUCUGCUGGCAUCAGAGACUACGCGAGGACUCAACUAGUCUCUAGGAAGACUUGAAGCUGUUCUCCACAGGAGGCAGAGGUCUUUGAGCCUCAGGAAGAACGGUCGGAUGUCUUCCUAUCCACAUCAUAAACUCCACACUCAUACUCUAUCUCUAGGAACCACUCCUCCCAAUCCCAGAGUCCAAAGACACCUUCGAGAACUUUGGGUCUACAGAAAACCUAGAACCCAGGAUAACUCGGAAUCUCAAGUCCUGAACUCUGGAAGACCCUGUACUUCCCAUAUUUCAGAAUCUCAGGUGCCUCGGCUUCCUUAGCCAGGAGACUUGCCCGGUCUGCAGAUCCGAGGAUCCACCUCGCGGGAAUUCGCCCCACGCGCCGGCCGCAAGGAGCCCUCAGUCUUAGAACGACUGCGCUCGGACUUCCAGAGUCCCAAGACCUUCAAGUCCCGAGGGAACCAUUGUGUUCGAUCCUCCCCACCCUGCCAGGCUCUCGCUGAGGAUUCCGGACCCAAGAAAAACCAGACAGCCAGAAACCCGCGAGCGGCGGGCUGGACGGAAUGGGCCCUUCUUACCCGCCAGCGCCGCCAUGGUCCAGGGCGCGGACAACACAGGAAGGACCACCCGGCAGCAGCGCCUCAGGUCCGCGCCCGCCUGCGGUCUAGAGAAGAGGCUGUCUCUGCCCCUGCAGCCGGAAGGAUGCACCGCCUACGGCGCCCUGGGAGGACCAAACCGCACCUGGCACGGGGACCCGCCCCGGAGCCCCUCCCACUUAGGUUAACGACCCGCCCUGCCCCGUCCCGCCUCCCGCGCGAACUCUGCCGCAUCUCUGGCGCCUGCUGGCGACUGGCGACCUCUAGAGGCGUUCGGAUUGACCAGGGUGAUUCAGUUUAGGCUGGAGGUCGCAACACAGGGGACCCUCGGCGCUCAGGGUCUUGAAAUGCAGCCAGACUGAUAUUGAACUUGCCAGCCUCUUGCCUCAGCUUCUUGAGUGCUGAGAUAUUCUUGUUUUAAAUCAUCUCUAGAUUGUUUAUUUAAAAAAAAAAACCAAAAUCUAGAUGUUCUAACAUAGUUAUCUUAUUCUGUGACUAAAAUCAAGAAAGAACCGGACAGUGGUGGCACACGCCUUUAAUCCCAGCACUUGGGAGGCAGAGGGAGGUGGAUUUCUGAGUUCGAGGCCAGCCUGGACUACAGAGUGAGUUCCAGGACAGCCGGGGCUAUACAGAGAAACCGUCUAAAAAAAAAAAAAAAAAAAAAAAAAGACGCAGCACUCUCAGCUCCUUCUCCAUCGCCAUGUCUACCUGUAUUCUGCCAUGCUUCUGGCCGGGAUGAUAGUGAACUAAACUUCUGAACCUGUAAGCCAGCCCCAAAUAAAUGUUGUCCUUUGUAAGAGUUGCUGUGGUCAUAGUGUCUCUUCCCAGCAUUAGAACCCUAACUAUGACACUCGGUUUUAGACAAUUGUUACUUCCCUCCAUCAGAUUUAUGUACAUGGGAAAAGAGUCCAGAGGAUCAGGAAAUGGGUAGGAAUGGAGCCCAAGGAAACCAAUCCUGCCUCCAACUCUCCCAUCAGCUGCCUCUGGCUCUACUACUUAGGUAAACAAAACAGCACAAUUCUCUGUCUUCCUGCAUGGCCUUUUGUUAACAAAAGUGGCUGCUAGUUAGAUGUUUCUUCCGUGGCGCCUUCAUAUGACCUAGGGUGCACAAGUGCUAGGGAGGGGGCUGUACCUGACUUCCUUCCUGGGAACUCACUUGAGCUGCUGGCUUCCCUCUGAGGAGAUAUCUGAUGCGUAGGGAACACUAGAUUAUAUACUGAAUUAGGAAAGAAUUCUUGGGGCUCUUCUGACAAGCUACUUAAUGAUUAGCAGAGAGAGGCCCUGCUGUAUUUUCCCGGGCACAGAGGGAUGGGGACUGGCUUGCUUGCUUCCUGUCCCUCCCUCCACAACUGAGCACCACAUCUGUCCUUCUCCCACUUUUUGCUGACUGCCUUUUCUUCCCACCCUGUCUCUCUUAUAAUCACUGUUUAAAGGGCAGUAUGUGUAAUUUGUAUCUGUUUUUUAAGAUUUAUUUAUUUAUGUAAUGUAUAUGAGAACACUAUUGCUGCCUCAGACACACCAAAAGAGGGCACCAGAUCCCAUUACAGAUGGUUGUGAGCUACCAUGUGGUUGCUGGGAAUUGAACUCAGGACUCCUAGAAGAGCAGCCAGUGCUCUUAACCACUGGGCCAUUUCUCCAGUACCAUGUAGGUUUUUAUUUGUUUGUUAGUUUGUUUUGUUUUUUUAAUUAAAAUUUGGGGGGGACAGUAUGAAACCUUGGCUGGUUUAGAAUUAUGUAGAUCAAGCUGACCUCCUAAGUGCUAAGAUGAAAAGUGUGUAUCACCAUGCCUAGUUCAAAGAAAACUAUUAAAUUAUGCCAUUGUGAACUGAACUGUCUUCCCUAGACUCUUGUGAUGAAGUCCUAUUCCCCAAAGUAUCCCUGCAGCUGAGGGCUUUACAAGGUAACCAGGGUUAUAUGAGGUCAUGGCGAGGCUGUUGUAAUGGGGCAAAUGUGUUCGAGGAAGAGGCACCAGACAGGUCUUAUUCUUGUUUCUUCUGCCUCCUGAAGACACAACAAGAAGACAGCUAUAUGUCAGGCAGCCAUCGAGCCAGCCAUCAGCAGAAAUCAGCCAUACUGGUAGACUGGUCUUGGUGUUACGGCUUCCAGAACUGUAAGGAAUAAAUGGUUCCUACUCAGGCAAAAA